UGAGGCCGGGCCGGGGUGCACCCCGGGCGCGGGGACGCACGAGUCCGGCAGGAGUUUCCUCCGAGUGCGCGUCCGCCCGCCGGCGCCUCCCGCCCCCCACCGCCCUUUUCGCUCAGCUCUCGGACCCGGGCUGCGCUGGGAGGGCGCAGGGGGCGGGCGGCGGCGGCGCGCGGAGGAGGAAAAGGAGAGCAAGGAGAGGACCUUCCCCGGAGAAAAGCCCGCUCCAGCUGCAGCCGCGAGUCCCCUCCCUCCCGCCCCGCAAAUGCGGAGAUGGCGGCGGCAGCUGCGAAAGGAAACGCCGGUUCUCCAGCGCCACUCAGCGCUCCUGCACCGCCCGCCACGAGCAGGAGGAGACGGCGGCGGUGCAGUGGCCGCUGGGUCAAUAGGCGCCGGCAGCCCCGGAGCUGAGCAGGCGGCGGGCCCCGCCUCCUCCCGACGCGCCGGGAUGAGGGGGCGGGCUCCCCGGCGCCCAAUCACGACGCGCCGCUUGCAGGGCCCGCCCCGCGUCGGCCUCCCGGAGCCCCCCGCGGUGGGAAGACCUCAGACUGCUUUUGUGACCUGGGAGGCAGUAUUGCUCAAGUUGAGGCCCUGAGAGACCCUGGGGCGCCAGCAGCCCAGUUUUGCUGCGCUUUCUCCCCACUUGCUUUUCACUGCCCAGGUUUUCUGUCCUUGAGGUCCCAGGCCUGGGGUGCCUUGGACGGAAACUCGGUGAGGAGAAGGGGGCUGCGAAUUCUGUUCAGACUCAUCUUUUCCUCCGCGGCUUUUGGUGACGUCUGGGGAAACCUGAGGGAAAGGAGCCUGCCGAAGGACCCUCCAGACAGGUGUAGACAUCUGGCUACAAAAAUCUGUGAGGAGAGCCUGCUUGUGCCGGUUAUUGAUUUAUUGCCUCUCAACUCCAAAUUCACCCUUUUUGACUGCACUGUGAAAAUGGAUCUGGGCCUUUUAAAGCAUCAUCUAUUUUCUGCUGGCAUCCAUGAAACAGUAACAGGCCCCAGACUCUUCACAUAUCCUGAAACUACUCACCUACCUAAGAGAAUCUUGACAUUAUUGGCAUAAUCUCCAUCAGCCUAUGCCUUUCCUCUCAUGAAAGGAAGCUGAGAGACGGGAUGAGUCAAGUAACAUAAUAAACUUCUGAGAAGAACUAGAACACAUAAUCCUCAAAUUUAUAUGGAACCACAAAAGACCCAGAAUUGCUAAAGCAAUCCUGAGGAUAAAGAACAAAGCUGGAGGCAUAAUCCUCCCAGACUUCAGACAAUACUACAAAGGUACAGCAAUCAAAACAGCAUGGUAUUGGCACAAAAACAGACAUAUGGAUCAAUGGAACAGAAUGGAGAGCCCAGAAAUAAACCCACAUAGCUACAAUCAAUUAAUCUUUGACAAAGGAAGCAAGAAUAUACAAUGGAGAAAAGACAAUCUCUUCAGCAUGUGGUGUUGAGAAAGCUGGACAGCCACAUAUAAAUCAAUGAAGUUAGAACACUCCAUCAUAUCAUACACAAAAAUAAACUCAAAUGGCUUAAAGACUUAACUAUAAGAUGUGAUACUAUAAAACUCCCAGAAAAGAACAUAGGCAAAACAUUCUCUGACAUACAUCAUAGCAAUAUUUUCUUAAUUUCCCAAGACAAUAGAAAAAAAUAAGCAGAUAGAAUCUAAUCAAACUUACAAGCUUUUGCACAGCAAAGGAAACCAUAAACAAAAUGAAAAGGAAAUCUACAGACUAGGAGAAAAUAUUUGCAAAUGAUGCAACCAACAAGGCCUUAACUUCCAAAAUAUACAAACAGCUCAUACAACUCAAUAACAGAAAAACAAACAACCCAAUCCAAAAAAUGGGCAAAAGACCUAAAGAGACAUUCCUCCAAAGAAGAUAUCCAGAUGGCCAAUAGGCACAUGAAAAGAUACUCAAUAUCUCUAAUUAUUAGAGAAAUGCAAAUCAAAACUGCAAUGAGGUACCACCUCACACUGGUCAAAAUGGCCAUCAUCAAAAAGUCAAAUAAUAAAUGCUGGAGAGGGUGUGGAGAAAAGGGAACCCUCCUACACUGUUGAUGGGAAUGUAAAUUGGUGUAGCCACUAUGGAAAGUAGUAUGGAGGUUCCUUAAAAAGCUAAAGAUAGAGAUACCAUAUGAUCUAGCAAUCCCACUCCUGGGCAUAUAUCUAGAGAAAACUCUAAUUCGAAAAGAUACAUGCACCCCAUUUUUCAUAGCAGCACUAUUGACAAUAGCCAAGAUAUAGAAGCAACCUAAAUGUCCAUCAACAAAUGAAUGGGUAAAGAAGACAUGGUAUGCAUAUAUAUAUAUAUAUAUACACACACACACAAUGGACUAUUACUCAGAAAUAAAAAAGAAUGAAAUAAUGCCAUUUACAACAACAUGGAUAGACCUAGAGAUUAUUACUAAGUGAAGUAAGUCAGACAGAGGAAGACAAAUAUCAUAUGAUAUCACUUAUUUGUGGAAUCUAAAAAAUGAUACAAAUAAGCUUAUUUACAAAACAGAAAUAGACUCACAGACAUAGAAAACAAACUUACUGUUACCAAAGGGGAAAGUUUGGGGAGGGAUAAAUUAGGCAUUUGGGAUUAGCAGAUACAAACUACUAUAUAUAAAAUAAAUAAGCAACAAGAUCCUACUGUAUAGCA